CUUCUUCUUUCCUUCCAUCAGUAGGCUACCGUCGGAUGUGGCUACACUCGGGUUGCUGUAGGCUAAAGCCACUGCCACCGGUGCCAUGGGGUCACCACUACUGUCGGUGCACACCAUAGAGGGAGAUGGCCGGCCUAAACUAUCAUCCCCUUUCCUCUCUCAUCUCUCUACCUUCUCUCUUCUCUUUCUCUCUUGAUUUUUUUCUCUCUCUACUUUCUCUCUCUAAAAUAUUUUCUCUAGAUUUCUUCUCUCUCUUCAUAGAUUUCUCUUUGAAAAUCUUGUAAACUAGUGGAUGCUGUGCACCUUCUCUAGGGCAUGGAGAUCUAGAAAUCACCAGCAAAUAGCACCA
rnacentral:lncRNA from 1 species